rnacentral:rRNA from 1 species
GACGAACGCUGGCGGCGUGCUUAACACAUGCAAGUCGAACGGAAAGGCCCUGCUUUUGUGGGGUGCUCGAGUGGCGAACGGGUGAGUAACACGUGAGUAACCUGCCCUUGACUUUGGGAUAACUUCAGGAAACUGGGGCUAAUACCGGAUAGGAGCUCCUGCUGCAUGGUGGGGGUUGGAAAGUUUCGGCGGUUGGGGAUGGACUCGCGGCUUAUCAGCUUGUUGGUGGGGUAGUGGCUUACCAAGGCUUUGACGGGUAGCCGGCCUGAGAGGGUGACCGGCCACAUUGGGACUGAGAUACGGCCCAGACUCCUACGGGAGGCAGCAGUGGGGAAUAUUGCACAAUGGGCGGAAGCCUGAUGCAGCAACGCCGCGUGCGGGAUGACGGCCUUCGGGUUGUAAACCGCUUUCGCCUGUGACGAAGCGUGAGUGACGGUAAUGGGUAAAGAAGCACCGGCUAACUACGUGCCAGCAGCCGCGGUGAUACGUAGGGUGCGAGCGUUGUCCGGAUUUAUUGGGCGUAAAGGGCUCGUUGGUGGUUGAUCGCGUCGGAAGUGUAAUCUUGGGGCUUAACCCUGAGCGUGCUUUCGAUACGGGUUGACUUGAGGAAGGUAGGGGAGAAUGGAAUUCCUGGUGGAGCGGUGGAAUGCGCAGAUAUCAGGAGGAACACCAGUGGCGAAGGCGGUUCUCUGGGCCUUUCCUGACGCUGAGGAGCGAAAGCGUGGGGAGCGAACAGGCUUAGAUACCCUGGUAGUCCACGCUGUAAACGGUGGGUACUAGGUGUGGGGUCCAUUCCACGGGUUCCGUGCCGUAGCUAACGCUUUAAGUACCCCGCCUGGGGAGUACGGCCGCAAGGCUAAAACUCAAAGGAAUUGACGGGGCCCCGCACAAGCGGCGGAGCAUGCGGAUUAAUUCGAUGCAACGCGUAGAACCUUACCUGGGUUUGACAUGGAUCGGGAGUGCUCAGAGAUGGGUGUGCCUCUUUUGGGGUCGGUUCACAGGUGGUGCAUGGCUGUCGUCAGCUCGUGUCGUGAGAUGUUGGGUUAAGUCCCGCAACGAGCGCAACCCUUGUUCACUGUUGCCAGCACGUUAUGGUGGGGACUCAGUGGAGACCGCCGGGGUCAACUCGGAGGAAGGUGGGGAUGACGUCAAGUCAUCAUGCCCCUUAUGUCCAGGGCUUCACGCAUGCUACAAUGGCUGGUACAGAGAGUGGCGAGCCUGUGAGGGUGAGCGAAUCUCGGAAAGCCGGUCUCAGUUCGGAUUGGGGUCUGCAACUCGACCUCAUGAAGUCGGAGUCGCUAGUAAUCGCAGAUCAGCAACGCUGCGGUGAAUACGUUCCCGGG